UGAGGAAUAUUGGACAAUGGAGGCAACUCUGAUCCAGCCAUGCCGCGUGUAGGAAGACUGCCCUAUGGGUUGUAAACUACUUUUAUAGAGGAAGAAACCCCGGUAUGUAUACCGGUCUGACGGUACUCUACGAAUAAGGAUCGGCUAACUCCGUGCCAGCAGCCGCGGUAAUACGGAGGAUCCAAGCGUUAUCCGGAAUCAUUGGGUUUAAAGGGUCCGUAGGCGGGUUUAUAAGUCAGUGGUGAAAGUUUGCGGCUCAACCGUAAAAUUGCCAUUGAUACUGUAGAUCUUGAAUUAUUGUGAAGUGGUUAGAAUAUGUAGUGUAGCGGUGAAAUGCAUAGAUAUUACAUAGAAUACCGAUUGCGAAGGCAGAUCACUAACAAUUGAUUGACGCUAAGGGACGAAAGCGUGGGUAGCGAACAGGAUUAGAUACCCCCGUAGUCC
rnacentral:rRNA from 1 species